rnacentral:rRNA from 1 species
AAAACAUGGCUCCUUGUUUAUAGCAUAUAAGGAGUCGGACCUGCCCAGUGAAAAUUUUUAACGGCCGCGGUACUCUGACCGUGCAAAGGUAGCAUAAUCAUUUGCCUUAUAAUUGAAGGCUAGUAUGAAUGGUUUGACAAGAAUGUAGCUGUCUCUUUAUAAUUAAACAGAAUUUUAUUUAUAGGUGAAGAAGCCUAUAUUGAAUUAAAAGACAAGAAGACCCUAUCGAGCUUGAAAGAAACUAAUAGACUAAACAAUUAAUGAUCUCAAAAAAUUAACUAUUAUAAAUUUUAGUUGGGGCGACUGAGGAACAAAAAAAGCUUCCUUUAAAAAUUAAAAACUAAACAAGUAUUGAUCCAAAACAUUUUGAUUAAAGAAAUUAGUUACCGUAGGGAUAACAGCAUUAUCUUUUUUAAGAGCUCUUAUCGAAAAAAAGGUUUGUGACCUCGAUGUUGGACCAGAAUAUCCUAAAGAUGCAGCAGUCUUUAAGGGUUGGUCUGUUCGACCAUUAAAAUUCUACGUGAUCUGAG